GGCCCACUGAAGCUUAUAAAAUAUCUUCAGAGGAAAAAGCUACUUAAAAGAAAAAUAAAAUGCAAAGUCUGCCAGCAGAAAAUGGAACUGAAGAAAAGGGUGAACAACGGAGACCAAUAUGCUUGGAUCUGUCGUGGAGCAGCACAUGGUGGACACGUCAAACAAACCUCCGUCAGACACAAGUCACUUUUCAGCCGUUCUAAAGUCUCACUUCAACGCUGGAUGCAAUUUAUCUACAGAUUUUCUCAGGGUCAGCGAUUACGUCAAAUCGACAUGAUAGAUGACACCAUUGCAGGCAGCACAACAACACUUAGUAAAAUGUCCAAAAAAUAAGGA